rnacentral:rRNA from 1 species
GACUGCAGUCUGCAACUCGACUGCACGAAGCUGGAAUCGCUAGUAAUCGCGGAUCAGCACGCCGCGGUGAAUACGUUCCCGGGCCUUGUACACACCGCCCGUCACACCAUGGGAGUUUGUAACGCCCAAAGUCGGUGGCCUAACCUUUAUGGAGGGAGCCGCCUAAGGCGGGGACAGAUGACUGGGGUGAAGUCGUAACAAGGUAAC